UACGAACUGUGCGAACGUUAUUCGGAAUCACUGGGCUUAAAGGGUGCGUAGGCGGCCGACUAAGUCAGGUGUGAAAGCCCCCGGCUCAACCGGGGAACAGCGCUUGAAACUAGUCGGCUGGAGUGAGGUAAGGGUAUGCGGAACUUCCAGUGGAGCGGUGAAAUGUGUAGAUAUUGGAAGGAACGCCGGUGGCGAAAGCGGCAUACUGGGCCUUGUCUGACGCUGAGGCACGAAAGCUAGGGGAGUGAACGGG
rnacentral:rRNA from 1 species